rnacentral:rRNA from 1 species
CAGUCCUACGGGGGGCAGCAGUGGGGAAUAUUGCACAAUGGGGGAAACCCUGAUGCAGCGACGCCGCGUGAGUGAAGAAGUAUUUCGGUAUGUAAAGCUCUAUCAGCAGGAACGAGACAAGACGGUACCUGACUAAGAAGCCCCGGCUAACUACGUGCCAGCAGCCGCGGUAAUACGUAUGGAGCAAGCGUUAUCCGGAUUUACUGGGUGUAAAGGGAGCGCAGGCGGCAUGGCAAGUCAGAUGUGAAAGCCCGGGGCUCAACCCCGGGACUGCAUUUGAAACUGUCAGGCUGGAGUGCAGGAGG